rnacentral:sRNA from 1 species
GGGCUGUGGUGUGUGGGGGGGAGACAGAUUCCACCAUCACCCCCACCUGGAGCAGGUACAGGAUCUCAGACAUAUCUCCAUGGGCUACAAAAUGAAGCUGUACUUCCAGACAAACCCCUACUUCACAAACAUGGUGAUUGUCAAGGAGUUCCAGCGCAACCGCUCAGGCCGGCUGGUGUCUCACUCAACCCCAAUCCGCUGGCACCGGGGCCAGGAACCCCAGGCCCGCCGUCACGGGAACCAGGAUGCGAGCCACAGCUUCUUCAGCUGGUUCUCAAACCAUAGCCUCCCAGAGGCUGACAGGAUUGCUGAGAUUAUCAAGAAUGAUCUGUGGGUUAACCCUCUACGCUACUACCUGAGAGAAAGGGGCUCCAGGAUAAAGAGAAAGAAGCAAGAAAUGAAGAAACGUAAAACCAGGGGCAGAUGUGAGGUGGUGAUCAUGGAAGACGCCCCUGACUAUUAUGCAGUGGAAGACAUUUUCAGCGAGAUCUCAGACAUUGAUGAGACAAUUCAUGACAUCAAGAUCUCUGACUUCAUGGAGACCACCGAUUACUUCGAGACCACUGACAACGAGAUAACUGACAUCAAUGAGAACAUCUGCGACAGUGAGAAUCCUGACCACAAUGAGGUCCCCAACAACGAGACCACUGAUAACAACGAGAGUGCUGAUGACAACGAAACCACUGACAACAAUGAGAGUGCAGAUGACAACAAUGAGAAU